UGGCUGGACGAAUUCGUUAGAUACAACUCAGGCAUCUGAAGAAAGUGAUAAUUUACGUCGAAACGUUUUGAUCUUGCUGGGUCAAAUGUCACAAAAAGAAGACUUGAUAAUUGCGAAUCAGGAAAACAUUUUGGAUUAGCUAGGUUACAAUAGUUACGAUCAAGAACGAUUCAACCGAAGGUUUCAAAAUCGAUACGAGAAAAACAGCAAAUUGCUGCAUCUGGACCGCCACCACGUCCGCCGAAAGAAAUGUGGCCUACAGCUCCAGCUUCAGGCAAUCAUCAUCAUUUCGGGAACAGAUUCUAGCCUCUUCACAAUGUUCCAUGCAAAGGAUAUUCUGCUUUCUGCAAGACCCAGAGUGGUAAGGAAGCAAACUGCACUGUCCCAUACAGAGUAAUCGACAAUCCUGCCAAAUUGCCUGCCACACGUGUUGUGAGAGUUUUCGUCUGGGGACCAGCUAGGCAAUUUAAAGGAUGGCCACGGAAUGGUAGUCGGGUUAAAAUAUUUUCGAAAAUUGUGCAUUUUACUUGCGAGGAAAUGGAGGAAAUUAAAUUGGAUACGAAUGUUGCACACUGGUCUGUAAACGUAUUGAAUUUAUCACGGACUGAACGACAUUUGGAUCGAGCAGUGUUAAUUACAUUUUCGCAAAGCCUGGACAUUGCAAAAAGUAAAAACUAACUUCGAUUCUGAUUUUAUCAAUACAUUGUAUACAUUCAAUCGCCCAAUUUUAGAUAGUUUGUUUAGAUAGUUGAAGUGAAUAUAAUUAGAGAACUAUAUUUGUACAGUCUUUUUCAUUAAGAAUUACUACUACUAAAAAUUCUACAAGAUCUACAAUGAUACAUUUUGCUGAUAAAAUUAAGCAUUUAUUUCAUUUGAUACACAGUAUUGAAAUGUCGAUUAUCCAUUGCCUGAAGACAGAUAGGGCACUUAUUAUUUAUUGAUAAUGUGCGCAAUAGACACUGACGGCAAAAUAAAUGCCCACAAACGGUUGCCACUGGAUCUGAGAAUUUCGUUUCCAAACAAAUCGGACACCCAUUCCCCAUGUAUAUGUACUGCAA